rnacentral:rRNA from 1 species
UGGGGAAUCUUGGACAAUGGGCGCAAGCCUGAUCCAGCCAUGCCGCGUGAGUGAAGAAGGCCUUCGGGUUGUAAAGCUCUUUUACCAGGGACGAUAAUGACGGUACCUGGAGAAUAAGCCCCGGCAAACUUCGUGCCAGCAGCCGCGGUAAUACGAAGGGGGCUAGCGUUGUUCGGAAUUACUGGGCGUAAAGCGCACGUAGGCGGAUUGUUGAGUCAGAGGUGAAAUCCCGGAGCUCAACUUCGGAACUGCCUUUGAUACUGGCAAUCUCGAGUCCGGAAGAGGUUAGUGGAAUUCCCAGUGUAGAGGUGAAAUUCGUAGAUAUUGGGAAGAACACCAGUGGCGAAGGCGGCUAACUGGUCCGGUACUGACGCUGAGGUGCGAAAGCGUGGGGAGCAAACAGGAUUAGAUACCCCCGUAGUCCCUGAGCGGGCUGGCAAGGCGCAU